rnacentral:snoRNA from 1 species
AUGCAUCUCUGACAGACCUGGAGCAGUUAAUGUCUGCUGCUAAGGUUUCCACUACAGAUACAAGGAAAAGAAGCCUGGCACUUUCUUUCUGUCUGAUUGUGGUUGCCAAGAUUAAAUGGGGGAAUACAGGA